UACGUAGGGGAGCAAGCGUUGUUCGGAUUUACUGGGCGUAAAGGGCGCGUAGGCGGCCGCUCACGUCCGGGGUGAAAGCCCCCAGCUCAACUGGGGAAGUGCCUCGGAUACUGAGUGGCUUGAGGGAGGUAGGGGCGGAUGGAACUUCCGGUGGAGCGGUGAAAUGCGUUGAUAUCGGAAGGAACGCCGGUGGCGAAAGCGAUCCGCUGGCCCUCUACUGACGCUGAGGCGCGAAAGCCAGGGGAGCAAACGGG
rnacentral:rRNA from 1 species